rnacentral:other from 1 species
UAUCAACUGCGGUGUGCGUUAGCAACCAUCAUAUAUCCUUGAGCCUAUUUAUCAACUUCGGGAUUUAUAGUGUCAUUCUGGUGUGCAUGCCCGAGUUAAAUCGGGAAGCCUGAUGAAUGCCCGUUUAUCCCCCCUGAACUUUCCGGUUCAAGGUUGAUAGAGUGCGACGGCACCGUGGUUGAUAA